rnacentral:rRNA from 1 species
AGUGAACGCUGGCGGUAGGCCUAACACAUGCAAGUCGAACGGCAGCACAGUAAGAGCUUGCUCUUACGGGUGGCGAGUGGCGGACGAGUGAGGAAUACAUCGGAAUCUACUUUUUCGUGGGGGAUAACGUAGGGAAACUUACGCUAAUACCGCAUACGACCUACGGGUGAAAGCAGGGGAUCUUCGGACCUUUCGCGAUUGAAUAGGCCGAUGUCGGAUUAGCUAGUUGGCGGGGUAAAGGCCCACCAAGGCGACGAUCCGUAGCUGGUCUGAGAGGAUGAUCAGCCACACUGGAACUGAGACACGGUCCAGACUCCUACGGGAGGAAGCAGUGGGGAAUAUUGGACAAAGGGCGCAAGCCUGAUCCAGCCAUACCGCGUGGGUGAAGAAGGCCUUCGGGUUGUAAAGCCCUUUUGUUGGGAAAGAAAAGCAGCAGGUUAAUACCCCGCUGUUCUGACGGUACCCAAAGAAUAAGCAACGGCUAACUUCGUG